rnacentral:rRNA from 1 species
CCUACGGGAGGCAGCAGUGGGGGAUAUUGCACAAUGGGGGGAACCCUGAUGCAGCGACGCCGCGUGGGUGAAGAAGCGCCUCGGCGCGUAAAGCCCUGUCAGCAGGGAAGAAAAUGACGGUACCUGAAGAAGAAGCCCCGGCUAACUACGUGCCAGCAGCCGCGGGAAUACGUAGGGGGCAAGCGUUAUCCGGAUGUACUGGGUGUAAAGGGGGCGCAGACGGCGAUGCAAGCCAGGAGUGAAAGCCCGGGGCCCAACCCCGGGACUGCUCUUGGAACUGCGUGGCUGGAGUGCAGGAGGGGCAGGCGGAAUUCCUGGUGUAGCGGUGAAAUGCGUAGAUAUCAGGAGGAACACCGGUGGCUAAGGCGGCCUGCUGGACUGCAACUGACGUUGAGGCCCGAAAGCGUGGGGAGCAAACAGGAUUAGAUACCCGAGUAGUC